rnacentral:lncRNA from 1 species
CGCCGCCCCUUGGGUCGAUGGAGUCGGCGCGGAAGGCCCGCGCGCCCUGCGCCGCCGCCGCUCAGUGCCGCCGCCAGCACCUCCUCCGCCCCUCCGCCUCCCGGGCUCAUCCCGCGGGGGCGGCGUCACCUCCUCGCUGCCCAGGCCCGGGCACCGCGGGCGCCCCGCGGGCGGCAGCCGCCCCUCCCGAGCGCGAUCUCCAGGCUGGGUCCGGGGCCGGGCGGGGAGGGAGGAGAGACUGAGCGUGAAGGGAGAGGGCGCCCGAGUUUUCGGGGACGGAAGUGUGGAGAAUAGGAGCGUGUGAGGGGGCGCCCGAGGUGUCGGGGGCGGGGGAAGAGUAUGAGCAGGGGUGGGGGCAGGGGUGCCAGGUGUAGCAGGUAGGGAGGUAGAGGCGGCGAGUGGGGGCGCCCGAGGGACCGGGGCGGGGCGGGGAGCGUAAGGGUGGCAAGGCGCCCGAGAGUCAGGGCUGGAGCUGAAGGUGGGUGACAGGGAGGGGGCGCCCAGGUGUCAGGACCUGAGGAGAAAGAGUGCGCGUAGCGGGAGGGCCCCGAAGUGUCGGGGCGGGAUCCUGGAAGGAGGGAGAACGUGAGGAGGGAGGAAGGGUCCCUGGGGUGUCAGGGAUGGGGGCCAGGAAAGGGGCAGAGAGCUGGAGGCCCACAAGUGGGGAUAGCGGGGGAGGGAGGUUGGAGCGAGUGGGGAACGCAGGUGGUGUCGAGGGCGGGGACAGGGCGAGGGGAGCGGGGCGUGAGGAAGUUGUGGGAAACCGCGCUGGACGCUGAGAAUGUGCGGAAGGAUCCUGAGGGGAGGACGCGAGACAGCGCGAGGAGAGACGAGGAGAGUUAGGGUUGGCCGGGAGGGUGCGAAGAUGAAGCGACCACUGGAGGCUGUGAGGGUGAAAGGAGCAAGAAUCGUCUAGAGACGGGCUGGGCCGGUGCUGGGGCCAAAGGCUUCUGUCUGUCAGGCCCUUUUUGGCGCUCACUCUAGAAAGAAGAGGCGGAGACGCGAAGAGAUCGGGUUAGAGUCAGAUUUUCGAAGCACGGAGAUGGGUUCAAUGAAAGGACGAGGAAAGACGAGAAACCAGCGGCCGGAGAACGGAGGUGGCCGCCGCCGUCCUUUGCUCUGCUCGGGGCUGGGCGCCGCCCGGAGAGCCCUCCCGGAGGGGGCGGGGCGGGGCCGGGUGAACAGAGCUGGGCGGGCUCGCCAGCUCUUCCAGGCGCCCUGGGCAAGCAAUGUGGGUGACUGAGCUCGGGUGUGUGUGCCUGUGUGUGUGUGUGUGUGUGUGUGUGUGUACGUACACAAGUGAGCGUGUGUGCGCACCCCACCCAGCCUUCCACACGCGCGCUGCUUAGUACCAGGCCAUAUUGUGGUCUGAUGAGUAACGUAAGCCUUUGGGGUUUAUAUUUACCUUCUUGAUGUGUAGUAAGUGCUCUCCCUCCUCCCUCUGUUCCCCAGGUACCGUCUGACUAGCUCCCCAUUUAAGAGAGCUGGGGACAGGCAAAGCAGCCCUGGAAGUCUCCUGUGAUUUCUAAGCUUAAAUGUCUAUUUUUCUUUUCUCCCAUGCCUUGUAAUUGGGAAGAGGGAAAAGUUUACUUAAGAGCUGUUUUUUAAAUUAUUACUAACUUGUUUCAAACAACACUCUCAUACUCCAGAUAAUUCAAUUUUCAUCUCUUUGGAGCUGAGCAAACCAGAUGAAAUUAUAUGAAUCCCAGUUUAUUUCAUUUUGUUGUAGAGUUCAACAAUUUUUAUGAAUUUCUAAUCCAACCUCAUCAUCCUAUGGGAAACAGAAGACCACCAAGAACAGCCAGCUGGCAAAAUCACAAGCAUCCUGUCAAGUCAGCUGCAGUUCAACUUGCCUACUUGGCCUAUGUGGAUACAUAGAAGGUCAUUAAGUGCCAGCAUGGAGCUGUUCCUCUACAACCAAUAUCUGUUGUAAUUGAAAGUGUCCUUCAAAAAUUCAUACCCACCCAGAACUUUAGAAUAUGGUCUUAUUUGGAAACAGAAUCUUUGCAGAUGUAAUUAAGACAUCAUAUUGAUGGAGAUUAGAAAAGAAAUAGAGCCGGGCGCGAUGGCUCACGCUUGUAAUCCCAGCACUUUGGGAGGCCGAGGUGGGCGGAUCACAAGAUCAGGAGAUCUAGACCAUCCUGGCUAACACGGUGAAACCCCGUCUCUACUAAAAAUGCAAAAAAAUUAGCCGGUCGUGACGGCAGACGCCUGUAGUCCCAGCUACUUGGGAGGCUGAGGCAGGAGAAUGGCAUGAACCCGGGAGGCGGAGCUUGCAGUGAGCCGAGAUGGCGCCACUGCACUCCAGCCUGGGCGACAGAGCGAGACUCUGUCUCAAAAAAAAAAAAAAAAAAAAAAAGAAAUAGAAAAGAUCAAUAAAACUAAGAGUUGGUUUUUGAAAAGAUAAAAUUGACAAACCUUUGACUAGAUUAAGAAAAAUGGGAGAAGGUUCAAAUAAAAUUAGAAAUUUGAGAGGAGACAUUACAAUGGAUACCGAAGAAAUACAAAGGAUCAUAAGCAACUACUAUGAGCAAUGAUAUGUCAACAAACUGGAUGUCCUGCUCAAACUCUUACAAAUUCUUCCAAAAAAUUGAAGAAGAUGGAAUAUUCCCAAACUCAUUUUACAAGGCCAGCAUUACCCUGAUACCAAAGCCAGUCAAGGAAACUACUAGAAAAGAAAAUGGCUGGCUAACAUCCCUGAUGAACAUAGACACAGAUAUCCUCAACAUAGUACUGAAAGUCUCCUAUAUAAGAGACCGACAUCUCUUCCCUCAAUAAGAACAAUACUGCCAGUUUUUGUCCUCCAGUGUUUCUAUGGUUGAGAACCAAAUGAAACAGUUGGUUUGGAUAAGGAUCGCCUUGUACAAAAGUUUGUCUCUUCAAGCACCAGAUAUAGAUGCACACACUACUGGAGGCAUACGGAAACUAAGAUGGCCUUCAGAGAUAGCAGAUUCAUGUCUCCUAUCACAUGAAAUGGUGGAUAGAAUCGCCAAUUCUUUAUAUUUACUUUUUUCCCUCUCUUGUUUGCCCUUUUGUUUUUUGCUAAUGUUUUGUUAAUAUAUGUAAAAUAAAUACGCAAAUGACAUGCUUUCAGUGAUAAUUCAUCGUAUUAAAAUAAUUCAAUUUUUAUUACUCUCACUAUAUUCACC